rnacentral:rRNA from 1 species
CCUACGCGAGGCAGCAGUGAGGAAUAUUGGUCAAUGGCCGGAAGGCUGAACCAGCCAAGCCGCGUGAAGGACGAAGGUGCCAAGCAUUGUAAACUUCUUUUGUCAAGGGACAAAAUCAGGCUCGAGAGCCUGACCGAGGGUACUUGAAGAAAAAGCAUCGGCUAACUCCGUGCCAGCAGCCGCGGUAAUACGGAGGAUGCGAGCGUUAUCCGGAUUGAUUGGGUUUAAAGGGUGCGUAGGCGGAAUGAUAAGUUAGAGGUGCAAUGUCCGAGCUUAACUCGGGAACUGCCUAUAAUACUGUUUAGCUAGGGAGUAGGUGCGGUAGGACGAAUGUAUGGUGUAGCGGUGAAAUGCUUAGAGCUCAUACAGAACACCGAUUGCGAAGGCAGCUUACCAAUCUAUAUCUGACGUUGAGGCACGAAAGCGUGGGGAGCAAACAGGAUUAGAUACCCGAGUAGUC